AACAACACCUCAGGCCAAAAAGGUGGGCGUCUCGUCUCGUCUUUUUGGACCCUGGAUCUAGGCUGUGAAACUUAUUCUGCAGCCGACCUCGAUCUCUCUUCUGAGGUCGGCCAGCCUGAAAUGCAUCCCACCGCGACAAGGGGGAAAAAAGAAAGGCGUUAUAGUUUGACCUCUGAGUCGAUCUUUUUCGCCGAAGAAAGAAAACCCUUGGGGCCCGCGGCGAUUUAGCAGGACACGACCGAAAGCGACCGGCGGGAAGCUAAUUCCUCCAGGUUGUCUUUUGAUCCUCA
rnacentral:misc_RNA from 1 species